rnacentral:lncRNA from 1 species
AUGGUAUUUAAUCUGCAGCUCGAGUGCACAGAUGGAAUAAAUAGACUCUCUCAGGCCUUGAGCAGUGGAGAUUUAAGAUGGAUAAAAACAAGAGUUUGCAGAAGAUGGGCUGAAGAUUUCACUGUAGUUCUGGAGGAUGCACAAAACUCCUUUCCAGCAAAGCUGUGGAUCGAGCCAGAAGGAUCUGGCUGGCUGAGAGGCCUUGCUUUCACCUGGAUGCAACCUUGCCAUCAAGUUCAUCCCUGCAGUGCCCAGCAGCAACCACUGAACCCUGGCUCUCCAGCCUCCUCUCCCAGAUCUGCAGCCCUCCACGAAGGACACAGAAUUUCAGUGAAAGUGCUGCUUUGCCUCACUCUGAAUUUUAUAUCCCAGCUAGCAUAUGAUGAUGAGAUAGAAAAGACUGAGACCUGCCAAAACAAAUCCUCGUUGAAAGCCUGCUUGGAGCUUUAG